rnacentral:rRNA from 1 species
UACGGGGGGUGCGAGCGUUGUCCGGAAUCACUGGGCGUAAAGGGCGCGUAGGUGGUUGAUAAGGGUGUGGUGAAAGUCCGGGGCUCAACCCCGGAUCUGCCGUGCCGACUGUCAAACUCGAGGGCUGUAGAGGCAGACGGAAUUCCGGGUGUAGCGGUGGAAUGCGUAGAGAUCCGGAGGAACACCAGAGGCGAAGGCGGCCGGCUGGACCUGACCUGACGCUGAGGCACGAAGGCGUGGGGAUCAAACAGGAGUUAGAU